AAAUUCAGUUUCACUUUAUUCAAGGUGAAGAAGAGGUUGGGAGGUAAGAGGCGGAGGUGGUAACCAAGAAAGCCAUGCCACAUAAAGCCAUGCAGCUGAACAAAAAGAGGUGCAAACAGACUUACAAAUGUUUUAGCAAUGUGUCUGGCAUCUUUGAUUCUAUGUUUGGUUUGUCAUUGAUUUCUUAGAGGUAGUUCUAACCCACCCUUAACAAACUACUACUGAGAACCCAAAUGACAUUUCUCAAAGGUAUUAAGCUUAGGUAACAGUCAUCUAGAAGGGAAACUGUUCUUCAGUCCAGGCCAUGGUAUACUUUUAAACACCACAGUGGGCAGACCUAAAUGCUUACAUUUUAAUUUUUAUUGAUAUCCCCGUGUCUAAUUGCAUAUAGAUUUUUAAUAAAAUUUAAUAUAUCUAUUCUGCCAUCUUGUUGAAAAAAUAUGCAUAUUGCAAUAAGGAAUGAGGCACAGCAGAGUGGACAUCUCAAACAACUUGCAGUAAUCCAGAAAACUACUCUGUGGUGUAAACCUGAACAUCUUUCUUCUUGCCCCCAGCUCAUGGAUAGUUAAAACAGAGAACUGGUGUCUGCCGAGAAAUGGCAAAAUUCAUUUAUGACUGUAUGGAGAAAGUGUACGGAAAAAAAAAAGGGGAAAAAAGAUACAAUUUAAUGACUAGAAAAACAAAACUAGAAAAUCAUGUUGUCAUUAAAAGUGGAAACAAGGAGGGAGGUGGGGGAGUGUCCCAUGUUGAUUUUUGAACAUUUUCAGUGUUUUAGUUCUUAGUUAAGGCUUUUAGUUAGCACAGAAGAUAAAAAUAUUUUACACUCUAUAGGAAAAAUACAAUUUCGGGGGAAUUGUUACGUUUUCCAAACCAUGAUCUUAACCACAGACAUGCACAUUUAAAAUAAAUUCUUCAACAUUAAUGGUUAAAUUGCCUAAAGAUUACUGAAGAGCCAGCUGAGAUUUGAGGAGUUUGUUGGCAACAUAAAUGUAAAAGUUAAGAGUUUGAGAUAAUAUUAAUUGAAAUAGAGGCUCUGCGAAGAGAAAAUGUUUAGAAUAGGGUAAAUUGAUAAGCUACACAAACGGGAAUGUACAAAGUAAUCGCAAGACAUACUAGAAGUGAAAGUUGCAGCAGAUACUCAGUAAAUACUGGGGAUAGAGAGAGGAUGAGACAACACUAAUCAAGAAUUAAAAUAAUGAACUAUCAUGCCUAAGAUGAAAAGUGACUGAUGAAAAAAACUACAGCUACGGAAUGGUACUCAGUGCACCUAAUAACACUACUUAUCUAAGGCAAAGUAUUCUAUUAAGUUUGGCGUGAUUAUAACCUGAGUUAAUAUUCUUAGUACGUGCUUAGUGUACAAACAAGUGGAGCAACACAGUCAUUGUCAUAGUUUGGAAUUCUCUUAUGAUCUUUUGAUUCAAUUUACAAUUUAUGGGAAGAAUUACAAGAUUACAUGUAUUUUGUAACCUCCUAAAUGGUUACUCACCACUUAAAGAAAGAUUUAACAGUAAAUUAAAGAACUGCAAUUGUAGGUUAGCAUGCUCGUCAUUUUAGAUUUUACAAUAAUGUGACAAUUUGGAUUUCUCAAGCACCAGCAAUCUGCAAUGUCAAAAUUAUAUCCUCUAGCUAUAAAUAUUCCAAACAAUAAUUUAGAAAUAAUAUUCUGGCAGUAGGUACUUACUACAUUUAGCAGAUAUUUUGAAGAUUUUUAUAUGGGAGUUUAUAAAAACCUUCAUAUAAAACUGUACUGUUUUUCCUGUACUUUUUAUGUCAAUGGCAGUAAACAGCCAUUCAACAAUACUAUGACUACUACAUCUCAGGAAUAAGUAGAAUUGCACACAUUCAGGCACUCUCUAUUGAAGUUCUGCUGUCUGGAUAUGAAACAAAAAAGUUUCCUUGGGUAAGAAAAGUUGAUAAAAGCAACUGUGAAAUAUUAUAUUUUUUAUUAACAAAAAUUUGACUUUAUUAGUCACUUGCUUAGCACACAAUACUGUGUAAUCCAAGGCAUUUAUUUUUGGUAUGCAACAGUGCACUUAUAACCCCAUAAACUCCUUUUUGAAUUGCAAGACUUAAUAACUUACUUAAAAUGAUAGGCUUUAAUCAAUAUUUUUAGUGCAGAGAUAUAUUAAUUCUC
rnacentral:lncRNA from 1 species